rnacentral:rRNA from 1 species
GAUCCUGGCUCAGGAUGAACGCUAGCUACAGGCUUAACACAUGCAAGUCGAGGGGCAGCAUGAACUUAGCUUGCUAAGUUUGAUGGCGACCGGCGCACGGGUGAGUAACACGUAUCCAACCUUCCCGUUACUCUGGAAUAGCCUUUCGAAAGAAAGAUUAAUACCGGAUAGUAUCGAGAGAUUGCAUGAUUACCCGAUUAAAGAUUCAUCGGUAACGGAUGGGGAUGCGUUCCAUUAGGCAGG